rnacentral:rRNA from 1 species
UCCGCAGGCGGUCCGGUGUGUCAGAUGUGAAAGCCCACAGCUUAACUGUGGAAUUGCAUUUGAAACUGCCGGACUAGAGUACUGGAGGGGGAGAAGGGAACACUUGGUGUAGCGGUGAAAUGCGUAGAUAUCAAGUGGAACACCGGUGGCGAAGGCGCUUCUCUGGACAGAUACUGACGCUCAUGGACGAAAGUUAGGGUAGCGAAAG